GACGAACGCUGGCGGCGUGCUUAACACAUGCAAGUCGAACGGAAAGGCCCUGCUUUUGUGGGGUGCUCGAGUGGCGAACGGGUGAGUAACACGUGAGUAACCUGCCCUUGACUUUGGGAUAACUUCAGGAAACUGGGGCUCAUACCGGAUAGGAGCUCCUGCUGCAUGGUGGGGGUUGGAAAGUUUCGGCGGUUGGGGAUGGACUCGCGGCUUAUCAGCUUGUUGGUGGGGUAGUGGCUUACCACGGCUUUGACGGGUAGGCGGCCUGAGAGGGUGACCGGCGACAUUGGGACUGGGAUACGGCCCAGACUGCUACGGGAGGCAGCAGUGGGGAAUAUUGCACAGUGGGGGGGAGCCUGAUGCAGCAACGCCGCGUGCGGGAUGACGGCCUUCGGGUUGUAAACCGCUUUCGCCUGUGACGAAGCGUGGGUGACGGUAAUGGGUAAAGAAGCACCGGCUAACUACGUG
rnacentral:rRNA from 1 species